AGAAACUUAGGUUAGCACCUCAAACCGAGAGCCUUCAAAGCCCUAAACGAAAGUGAAAAUCUUUCAGUCUCUG
rnacentral:tRNA from 1 species